GGCUGAGUGGCCUAGUGGUUAAGCGCCCUGGCGCGAGACUGGUAGGUCCUGGGUUCGAAUCCCGCGAGGCG
rnacentral:tRNA from 1 species